GAUAACAGGCUGAUCUUCCCCAAGAGUCCAUAUCGACGGGAUGGUUUGGCACCUCGAUGUCGGCUCGUCGCAUCCUGGGGCUGGAGUCGGUCCCAAGGGUUGGGCUGUUCGCCCAUUAAAGCGGUACGCGAGCUGGGUUUAGAACGUCGUGAGACAGUUCGGUCCCUAUCCGCUGUGCGCGUAGGAGUCUUGAGAAGGGCUGUCCCUAGUACGAGAGGACCGGGACGGACGAACCUCUGGUGUGCCAGUUGUUCUGCCAAGGGCAUGGCUGGUUGGCUACGUUCGGGAGGGAUAACCGCUGAAAGCAUCUAAGCGGGAAGCCUGCUUCGAGAUGAGGACUCCCACCCACUUGAUGGGGUAAGGCUCCCAGUAGACGACUGGGUUGAUAGGCCGGAUCUGGAAGCACGGUAACGUGUGGAGGUGACCGGUACUAAUAGGCCGAGGGCUUGUCCUCAGUUG
rnacentral:rRNA from 1 species